UAGUGGGGGACAACAUGUGGAAACGCAUGCUAAUACCGCAUACGCCCUACGGGGGAAAGGAGGGGAUCUUCGGACCUUUCGCUAUCAGAUGAGCCUGCGUGAGAUUAGCUAGUUGGUGGGGUAAAGGCUCACCAAGGCGACGAUCUCUAGCUGGUCUGAGAGGAUGAUCAGCCACACUGGGACUGAGACACGGCCCAGACUCCUACGGGAGGCAGCAGUGGGGAAUAUUGGACAAUGGGCGCAAGCCUGAUCCAGCCAUGCCGCGUGUGUGAAGAAGGCCUUCGGGUUGUAAAGCACUUUCAGAGGUGAGGAAGGGUACGUAGUUAAUACCUGCGUACUUUGACGUUAACCUCAGAAGAAGCACCGGCUAACUCUGUGCCAGCAGCCGCGGUAAUACAGAGGGUGCGAGCGUUAAUCGGAAUUACUGGGCGUAAAGCGCGCGUAGGCGGUUUGUUAAGUCGGAUGUGAAAUCCCAGGGCUCAACCUUGGAAUUGCACCCGAUACUGGCAGGCUAGAGUACGGUAGAGGGGUGUGGAAUUUCCUGUGUAGCGGUGAAAUGCGUAGAUAUAGG
rnacentral:rRNA from 1 species